GAAGAUAAGAUCAGUAACAGACAGAAGAUCAAACCAGUAACAGACAGAAGAAAAGACCAGUAACAGACUGAAUAUCAGAUCAGUAACAGACAGAAGAUCGGUAACAAACAGCAGAUUAGUACAGGAGUUUAUUUACCUUGAUUCUGAGCAGGGUUUGUUUCUCCUCUUCUCAACUGUGUCCAGUUCAAUCACAGCUAACACAUUUAACAUAUCAACUAUGACGCAAAUUGUUCGUCAAGCCAUUAAACUUUACGACAUGAGUAAAAUAAGUCACGAAUCACUUAAAAAAAUCUGACUUAGAAUAAGCGAAAAAAUAAAGAAAACAAACGAGGCCUUUAUAAUGAGUGAGAAACAUCACUCAUUACUAGAGAUCUGAGUCUUAAGUGAUGGGGAAGACAUCACUGAUCAAUCAAAGACUUCCGUCAGAUUCUCACUGCCAUUCAUACACUCAGAUAUAACGUAACUUACAUAUAAAUCAUAUCAAUACCUAGAUACUCAUAUAUAAAUAAACUCCAAUAGCGGCCUGCGCUAGUUAGCAUUUGCAGCUACAGUAAGAAUAAUCUAAAUUAUCCUCAUGCAAGCGCAGGAAUAAAACAAUUUAGCCUUUAAAAUAAACACUUAAAGCCGACGUUUGAUGACGUGUUGUACUAUUAAAAUAUAAAUUAACGAAACGCGUUUAUUAGAGUGAAUUACUCUGACGCGUCACCAUCUGAUCCAUGAGGGAAAACACCGGGAUAAAAGCACAAAGCGUCCUUUAAACGACACUAUCCGCAAGAAAAGUCAUUCGUCGGCCGGGCUGAGGUCGAAAAACAACAAUUAAUGCAG